GCGGGGGUAGCCAAGUUCGGUCAAAGGCGUAGGAUUUAGGCUCCUAUCCUUAGCGGUUCGCAGGUUCAAAUCCUGUCCCCCGCA
rnacentral:tRNA from 1 species